CCUACGGGAGGCAGCAGUAAGGAAUAUUGGUCAAUGGACGCAAGUCUGAACCAGCCAUGCCGCGUGAAGGAUUAAGGCCCUCUGGGUUGUAAACUUCUUUUAUAGGGGACGAAAAAAGGGCAUUCUUGCUCACUUGACGGUACCCUAGGAAUAAGCACCGGCUAACUCCGUGCCAGCAGCCGCGGUAAUACGGAGGGUGCAAGCGUUAUCCGGAUUUACUGGGUUUAAAGGGUGCGUAGGUGGGUUGGUAAGUCAGUGGUGAAAUCUUCGAGCUUAACUCGGAAACUGCCAUUGAUACUAUCAAUCUUGAAUCAUCUAGAGGUAAGCGGAAUAUGUCAUGUAGCGGUGAAAUGCUUAGAUAUGACAUAGAACACCAAUUGCGAAGGCAGCUUACUAUGGAUGUAUUGACACUGAGGCACGAAAGCGUGGGGAUCAAACAGGAUUAGAUACCCUGGUAGUCCACGCCCUAAACGAUGGAUACUCGACAUUUGUGAUAUACUAUAAGUGUUNUGAGNGAAGANAUUAAGUAUACCACCUACGGAAGUACGACCGACGAGUUAGUAACGUUAAAGUAAAGUUAGUACGGCGUGAGACGUAGCCGACGGACGACGACGAGGGAGGAGGG
rnacentral:rRNA from 1 species